rnacentral:rRNA from 1 species
CCUACGGGAGGCAGCAGUGGGGAAUAUUGCGCAAUGGGCGAAAGCCUGACGCAGCCAUGCCGCGUGUGUGAAGAAGGCCUUCGGGUUGUAAAGCACUUUCAAUUGGGAGGAAAGGUUCACGGUUAAUACCCGUGAGCUGUGACGUUACCUUUAGAAGAAGCACCGGCUAACUCCGUGCCAGCAGCCGCGGUAAUA